rnacentral:lncRNA from 1 species
UUUUGAUCAAUCAAUUAGUUUAAAUGGAUAAUUCAUGCAUUAAUAAGUUAAUUGUUAGUUUAAAAUAGAUUGGUGGGUUAAUUGUGCAAAAUAAGUCUAAGUAGAGUAAUACAUUAAAAGGGGCUAUUUGAAUAAUACAAACGCAAGAAAGCAAAGAAGUCCAUCUGCUCUUAUUUCUACUUUUGGUCCAGGCGCUUGGAUGGCCCGAUUCUCUCAACAGUCCGUUAGCCCACUUCUAUACCCGGUCCAGCCCUUUCAGCCACCAAAACGACACCGUUCCAGUCCCAAUUAAUCUCUGCCGUCCAUCAGAUCUCAUCUGACGACAGAGACUGUCCUAAAAUACCUCAUUUCUAACCUAAUACACUCUCCUUCCUCUCUAUCAUCAGCCGCCACCAAUCACCCCACCUGAAAUCGCUCAGUUGAGCGUGCCACCCUAAAACCGCCGUUGACCACCGUUGACCAUCGCCGGAGUCAGCCAAACGACGUGAAACCACCAUGUUUCUUCUCCUCUUUUUCUCCUCUACAUCAUCAUAAUAAGAUCGUACUCCCAUUUCGACCCCGCCAUUACCCCAUAGAAAUACUUAAUCCAUUCGGCCCUGCUCCGAUUACCUUGACCUUUAAUACCGGCAUACCUCUACACAUAUAUCAUUAGAUAGAUCUUAAAAAGAUCUAUUCAAUGAUAUAAGUAUUAGGGUAUUUCAAAGUUCAAGUCCUGGCUAAAUCUUGCUGAAACUACUUCUGGCAUUUCACUUAGAGGUCAACAGGUAAUUCUAUUUCUUUUUCUCCUCAAAUGAGUAGUUUUUUCUCUUUUCCAGUUUGUCAAAAGGCAUAUGCUCCUCUAUUAGUUUGUUUUCUCAUAUGUUUAGCAUAUUUUAGAUAGUUUAGGACUUAAUAACAAUUAAUUCUGUGCUUUCAUGAUUAUAGUUGUGUUUAAUUGCAUGUUUAAAUUAGUUCAUUAGUAUUUUUAGGUUUAUUUGAUUUCCGGUUGGAAUUUUUCUUUUUCUUCUGUAACUGUUACUUCAAUUUGGGUUGGUAUUUGUUUUGUUUGAUUGGGGGCCUGUCUUGUUUGACAUGCAGGCCCAUUAGGUGUGAAAGUUCAGGAGACGAGUUUGGGUAUGGGCCUGGUGGUCAGAUGGCCCAAGUCUUUUGGUACCCGUGAGGUUAAUAAAGAAGGUUGAGUUUAGGAAUUAAACUUGAGAAAUAUUUUCUGUAACUGUUUUAGAAAGUUCUAGGAGAUAGGAAAGGGUUAAACAUCAAUAAAGAAGAUAUAGAGGUUGGGGUUUGAAAGAGUAAUAAACAGAAUUUAGAAGGAGUAAAAAGAAAAGGAAAUAACUAAAAAUACAGCCUCUAUUCUGUUACAAAAUAGUACCCCCCCCCCCAACCACCACACACACACACACACUUUAGAGAUUAUCAUUUAUUCACUCUCACUCAGCUCACACAGAAUUCAUACAUACUCAUUCCUUCCUUCACACGCACCUUCUUAAUUUGCAAAGGCUGAAAAUAAUUUUUCUGCAUUCAAAUUUGAAUUCCAGAUUUGAAAAGAAAAAAAAAACUCCAAAAAAAUAACAAACAAAAACAAUUCAGAAAAAGGCUGUAGUUGGUUCUGUGGUUUCAAAAAUAAUUUCCUCUGCAUUUCUGGGUUUUGAAGACAUUUCAGCUUGGAAUUUCUGUUGUUUGUUGCUGUUCUUUGUCAAUUAGUAGCUGAGCUUCAGUUUGUAGCUAUGUUUAGCCUUUAUUUGGCCAUUUAAGAUCUACUUGCUGCUUGCACCCAAGGGUGUGGCCUAGUGGUCAAUGAAGUGGGUGAGAAUCUUGAGGUCUCAGUUCAAAUCCCAGCUUCUUCCCAUCUAUCCAAGCCUUGGUGGAUAGAGUUACCUGUUGCUGGUGUGAGGUGGGAGGUAUCCCGUGGAAUUAGUCGAGGUGCGCGCAAGCUGGCCCGGACACCACGGUUAUAAAAAAAAAAAAGAUCUACUUGCUUCUUUUAAGGUACUGAUUUCCGCCACCUCCGAUGUAACAGUUGUUUGAAUUUUAUAUUACCAUCAAGCUUGUAAUCAUAGGCUACUUAUGUGUUCUGUAAAUGUUCCUUGGGGUACUUAGUCAUUUAUGGGUUUGAUAAAUACUCUCUUCUAUGUCUAUUUGCCAGAUUAGAACUAGAUUGGAGUUUUAGUGUACAAAACUAGUAUAAAUAUGAGCAUAAAUUGUUCAUGCUAUAAUGAUCAUGAAGGCAUUUUUAAAUUAUAAUGGUUGACCAGUUAAAAUAGAGCUAGAAUUGAGAUUUUCAGGUUGAAUCGAAGCUGCAGAAAUGUCCAUUUCCAGCAGUAAUGUAUUUGUCAGUGUUAGAUAGAUCUGGAAAUUUGAAGAAGAAAUAUGAAAAAGUUCGUUUGUAUAAUGAUUUGAUCUCAGUUAUGUUGAUAUUUAGUCUAUGGUUCAAAGACUAUUUUUCUGUAUAGUUUGUGUAAAAUGAGUUUAAAACAGGUUUGUAAUAACUCCGUUCAUCAAUGAUUGUAACUAAUCAGUAGGUCAAUAAAUGUUGUUCAUAUUAUUUUCGUUUUGUGUUAAUUGAUUUAUUCCUACUUUUGAUCGUGUAUAUGAUGUUGGAUAUGAUGAAGCUCAUGUAAAUGAGCAUAUUCUGAAUUAACCUCUUCCCUUUACCGUUUGGGCUUCACUUUAAGCUCAGAUCUGAGAAAACGAUUUUGUCUAAAGGUUUGUUGUGAGCCUGACUUUAAGCUGGCCCACUUCGGUGGCCUCCAGGCCCAAACCCCAUAAGAGUUCCACCUGGAAUUUGGUCAGGCCAAUAUGGCCAGGACUAAUUUAUUGUGUAUUACUAACUCAAUUUGAAUUAGUAACUCCAACACGCUUGUCCUUCAAUCAACCAAAAUCGAGAGUAUAAAUUUGAAUUAACAGUACGGGGAUCGUCCUUCUUCCCUUUCAAAAUAGAAUAUUGAUUCAAGCUUAUUCCAUUUAAUCUAAACAAUCAAAAUUACAUCUCUUUCAAGUUCACAAUGAUUUUCAUAAUUAUCGUCACAAUAUUCGUAGAAUGCUUUAGGAGCGAUUUAUGCGUUCGCGCGACUUUGGCCAAGCAAUUUUAAAAUUAAUUAAGUGUUAUUAAUUGUGUACACGAUUUUGACACUCAAACAAAACGGAUACACACACGUGAUCUGUUUCAAAGAUAAUCCAUAAUAAUUAUAAUAAAUAAGAGUGGUAAAGGUUAAAACGCACGUAUGUUCUAAAAUAUGUAAUAAUCAAUUAACAAGCCAAGUGUAGAUUGUAAAGCGACCGUGCUAAAACAACGAAAUCCGGGAGUGCCUGACACCGUAUCUCGGGUUAACGGAAUUUUUUACUCGGUCUUCUACGUUUCGCAGACUUUAAACAGUGUCAAUUUUCCUUGAAUUGAGAUUCUAAAAUAAAUGGCGACUUGGGACGGCGUAAAUAAUUAUUCCAAGUGACGACUCUAAUUAAAAUAAAUUAAUCUCAUUUCAAUAAUGUCACUUAAAUUAGAAAAACUCAUUUCCCCGCAAAAAAAAAAGUAUGACAUAUGGUAUACCGUAUUCUAUUGUCAUUGACAAGGAUACAAUGUUCUUAAGUUCUUUUUGGCAAGAGCUUCUCACAAUACAAGGAGUCCAACUACAUACCUCAUCAGCUUAUCAUCCAUAAACUGAUGGGCAGACUGAGGUCCUGCAUAGAUGCCUAGAGACAUAUUUGAGAUGCUUCUGUUCUGAGGAGGCUAUUAACUGGCAUUCUUAUCUAUAUAUGGCUGAGUAUUGUUUCAAUACUUCCUUCCAUUCAGGCAUAAGAACCAUCC